rnacentral:rRNA from 1 species
UGGGGAAUUUUGGACAAUGGGCGAAAGCCUGAUCCAGCAAUGCCGCGUGUGUGAAGAAGGCCUUCGGGUUGUAAAGCACUUUUGUCCGGAAAGAAAUCCUUGACUCUAAUACAGUCGGGGGAUGACGGUACCGGAAGAAUAAGCACCGGCUAACUACGUGCCAGCAGCCGCGGUAAUACGUAGGGUGCAAGCGUUAAUCGGAAUUACUGGGCGUAAAGCGUGCGCAGGCGGUUUGCUAAGACCGAUGUGAAAUCCCCGGGCUCAACCUGGGAACUGCAUUGGUGACUGGCAGGCUAGAGUAUGGCAGAGGGGGGUAGAAUUCCACGUGUAGCAGUGAAAUGCGUAGAGAUGUGGAGGAAUACCGAUGGCGAAGGCAGCCCCCUGGCAAGUACUGACGCUCAUGCACGAAAAGCGUGGGGGAGCAAAACAGGAUUAGAUACCCCUGGUAGUCCACGCCCCUAAAACGAUGUCAACUAGUUGUUGGGGGAUUCAUUUUCCUUAGUAACGUAGCUAACGCGUGAAGUUGACCGCCUGGGGGAGUAC